rnacentral:misc_RNA from 1 species
GAUGAAGAACGUAGCGAAAUGCGAUAAGUAGUGUGAAUUGCAGAAUUCAGUGAAUCAUCGAAUCUUUGAACGCAUCUUGCGCUCCUUGGUAUUCCGAGGAGCAUGCCUGUUUGAGUGUCGUGAAUACUCUCAACUUCAACCCUUUUUUCGGAAAGGGAGGAAGGUUGGACUUGGGUGUUUGUUGAAGUGCGAGCUUCGACUCAUCCUAAAUGCAUUAGCGAUCUGCCUCGAUCACACACAAUGUGAUAAUUAAAACUAAAGCAUUGUUUAAUGAUCAAGUCGAGACUGCUUCUAACUGUCGCAAGACAAUAACGUGCAUACAUUUGUGCAUGUCAUUUGACCUCAAAUCAGGUAGGACUACCCGCUGAACUUAAGCAUAUCAAUAAGCGGAGGA